rnacentral:tRNA from 1 species
GGGGGUAUAGCUCAGCUGGUAGAGCGUCUGCCUUACAAGCAGAAUGUCGGCGGUUCGAAUCCGUCUGUCCCCA